AAUAUACUCCCUUCGUUCGGAAUUACUUGUCGCAAAAAUGGAUAGAAAUGAAUGUAUCUAGAACUAAAAUACAUCUAGAUACAUCGAUUCUUCGGACAAGUAUUUCCGGACAGAGGGAGUAUAUU
rfam:Hordeum vulgare subsp. vulgare, WGS project CAJW01000000 data, contig: morex_contig_50002